CAGCACCUCAAGUGGUCAGGAUGAUUAUUGGGCCUAAAGCAUCCGUAGCCGGCGCUGUAAGUUUUCGGUUAAAUCUGUACGCUCAACGUACAGGCUGCCGGGAAUACUGCAGCGCUAGGGAGUGGGAGAGGUAGACGGUACUCGGUAGGAAGGGGUAAAAUCCUUUGAUCUAUUGAUGACCACCUGUGGCGAAGGCGGUCUACCAGAACACGUCCGACGGUGAGGGAUGAAAGCUGGGGGAGCAAACCGGAUUAGAUACCCGAGUAGCCC
rnacentral:rRNA from 1 species